UGAGGAAUAUUGGUCAAUGGACGCAAGUCUGAACCAGCCAAGUAGCGUGCAGGAUGACGGCCCUAUGGGUUGUAAACUGCUUUUAUAUGGGGAUAAAGUGGGGAACGUGUUCCCUUUUGCAGGUACCAUAUGAAUAAGGACCGGCUAAUUCCGUGCCAGCAGCCGCGGUAAUCCGGAAGGUUCGGGCGUUAUCCGGAUUUAUUGGGUUUAAAGGGCGCGUAGGCCGUUUGGUAAGCGUGUGGUGAAAUGUAGGAGCUCAACUUCUAGAUUGCAGCGCGAACUGGCAGACUUGAGGGCGCAGAACGUAGGCGGAAUUCAUGGUGUAGCGGUGAAAUGCGUAGGUAUCAUGAAGAACUCCGAUUGCGAAGGCAGCUUACGGGGGCGCAAAUGAAGCUGAAGCUCGAAGGUGCGGGUAUCGAACAGG
rnacentral:rRNA from 1 species